UUGUGCGUGCCGAAAGAUGCAGUUGGCGACGCUAAAUUGCAGAAAAACCUCGAGUGGACACGGGGUCGAGGUGUCGAUUACGGUUCGAUCCAACAUGGUGCCGUUUGUGCCGAACCGCCCACCGUCAGGUCUUGUGCAACAUUCGCCAUGAGUUCUUACCAUCGGAGGAAAGGAGGAAUUGAUAGCGCCUGUGAUGUUAGUAGUACUGCUCAGACAACCACCAAGGAUCCAAGUCAAGGGAAAUGCAAAUAUGUUUGAAGGUUUUACUUUGAUCGAUAAAAAAAUUACUAAAAAAGG